GAAUAAAAGACCAAAAAGUGUAUGUUACACUUAUAGUUGUAAACAAGUGUACAACAGUAAGAUUCAUUACAUUAACAUUGGGAAUGUAGACUUGCCACAGUAUCAUAAUUUUCACACCAGUGCUGUGUUCACGUUCAAACCAACUAACACCGGUAUUACCAGUGGUUGGACGAUAGGAGGUACUAUAGACUCAUUUUCGCAAUAGCCUACACAAUAAUGCAAGGGAGCUUGAUUUAAAAUUUGAACUUCAUUUUUUAUUGAUUUUAACAAAAAAUUUAAAUGAAACUGACAAAAAUUAAGUGCAAUUAAAAUUGUGUUCAGCUUUUAGAAAUAUGGCUUUUCAACAGUUGUGAAGGGCAACAUCUCUUUGAAAACUAACCUACUUCAUCCGAGCAUUCUCUACCGGUCACAAUAUUUUUCACAAUUUGUUCACAAUAUUUUUAUUAUAAAUAUAUAUUUAUAUAUAUAUAUAUGCAGUAUAUGAGGGAUCGGUGAAUAUUCUUGCUUUAGUGAUUUUGCAAAUAAAAUUUAAUUCAUUUAUUUAAAAAAUGAAAAACUCAAACCAAAAGACAUUUCUAAAUUCAAAUAGCACUUCAAACUAAACGAAAAAGCAAUCGAAAUGCCAUGGACAAUGUAAGUGAUGUUCCACAGACAACUUCCUGGAGAAGGAAAAAGACAGAAGCCGCCACUGCACAAGGCCAGAAAUUUAAACCGAGAAAGAAGAGCAAACCAUUCACCAUUUGGGCCUCCAGCCCAAAACAAAAGAAUAUGGGCACUCACAAUUCAACAGCAAAUGAUUUUGCAGCACAAAUGAGGGGAGAACUGCAGAUCUGGAAGAGGAAUGGGCCAAACCUACCCUCAAAUAGUAAUUUUUUUAUUAUUUUCUGUGAUGAUGUGUAUGUUUCUACUUAGUCUUAUGAGUGGGACCAACUGGCUUUCAGGUUGGAUGUGUGGCACUUUAUGCGGCGGAUUGCAUUAGGGGUCACCACAGACAGCCACCCGCUGUACGCCCUCUUCAUGGGACACCUCUCUGCUUGCAUCUUCAAGUGGGAUGCUGCAGAUGUGGAGAUGGUACAGGAGGCCAAGCGGUCCACAGGCUCAUGCAAGCCCACUGCUAAAGAGCUGGCAAGGCACUGCCAUCGCCACACUUGUUGGGCCCAGAAGACUAAGGAGCUCAUUGAACAGCUGCUCAAAGACUUCAUGGGGGCAACAGACACCAUGGGCUUCAGACUUAUGGACCAGGAGAGGAUGGAGGAGAUCUGGCGGACCCAGCAGUGCCACAUUGAGUGCAUCCAGGACCCUUCAGGUGUACAGCUGUACAGGAAGACAGGAAAGGUGACCAAGGGAGGGGUCAUUCUGCCCCUGUACCGCUGUGCAUGUGGCUCAACAUUGCUGGAGUCAUUCCACCUGCACCUGAAUUGCUUCGUGCAAGGAUUGUAUGACUCAUAAAUAAUGUGUGUUGUUUGUUUGUGGGUGCACUCAGUGUUUUUCCAAGGCACUCACUUCUCUCUUUGUGUUUAGGUACAAGUGCAAGUGCCCUGCACUUCCAAGUGUACCUGCUUGAAGAGCUUGUGCAGUGGAAUGAGGUGCGUGCGGUUGCUGCAGUUGAAGGUGGCAGUAGGGAGGAUAUCUGCUAUGGCGGCCUGCAGCAGUAUGUUAACAUAUUUGGCCAGCAGAUCCUGGGCCUCAAAUUGGCGGAAGAUUACACCAGCCCUGGCGAAUACACAGGCAAUGUGUUCAUGCACAUGUCUUAUGUAUAGCAGCUGUUACACCUGUAUUUCACCCGUGUGUUGUUAAAACAUCUGUUUUAUACACUGUAUUUCUACAGGCGAGCCCAUUGGUUUGGAGUACUUGUCCUCUCAAACAAAUAGAGCAAUUGAGGAAGACUUUGCUGCAGAUUGUGACACUCCAGAUGGGAUUCGGGAUGAAGACCUGGAGGGGGAUCUGGAGGGUGAUGAGGGGUUUGAAGAUUUGAGCUUUGAUGUCGAGCCACUUAAAAUCCUGGAGCUCAGCCUCAAUCCCCUGCAGCCCAUUCAGCAGCAGGCAGCGGCCCUACAACCUCCUGUGGCCCUCCUGGUCUGUCAUCAUCCCAGACAGAUCCAGCAGAGUCUUCCUUGAGUCAGCCUGAGCUCCUGAGAGAUGAGCCAGCCACUUUGCUGCAGAUCCUGACACUCCAGAUGGAAUUCUGGAUAAAGACCUGGAGGGGGAUGAGGGGUUUGAGGAUUUGACUCGAAAUCCUGGAGCUCAGCCUCAAUCCCCUGCAGCCCAUUCAGCUCCAGGUAGCAGCCCUACAGCCUCCUGGUCUGUCAUCAUCCAAGACAGAUCCAGCAGUCUUCCUUGAGUCAGCCUGAGCCCCUGAGAAAUGAGCCAGCCACCCAGAUCCAGCUUACCAACAGUUUGGUCGACCUCAGACAUCAGGGGUUCAUCACAGCAGAAGGUAGAGGAGAUUGUCACUAUGGGUCAACUUGUCAGAGCAUGACAAGGAUGCUCUCAUCUACCCCGCUCGCCACUGUGACAGACUGGUGAAGGGGCGCUUCAAAGUCAGUCACUCAGUGACAAAUGUCACCCCUGGCACUGACAGUUUGAAACGCUGCUUACUUGGUGAAGGCAGUGGACCCACCGUCUCGUUGUGGCCAUUUGCCUGGCUCUCUGCCACAUUUACCCUGCCAGUCAGACCAUCGCCGGAGUCAGGCUGAACAGUUGGGCUGCCAUCCUCCGGGACUACAGGAUGGUCAGGGAGGUAGUCCUGGAAUCAUGGCCCAGACAAGGUUGCAGCUGUUCAAACUAAACCAGCUUACACUCUCCCAUUGGCACAAUGCUCGGAAGAAGGCAUGAAAGGGAGGUCUUGCAGCAAAAUGUCAAGCCUUUAACCACUCCCUUGAUGGCAUCUGAACCCCUCCCACCUAUGCUGCCAAAACAUCCAGAACCCAUCCAGCAUGUGCACUCAUCCUACGAGUUCACAAUACCUGCGUAUGCAUCUGGACAAGCAGCACAGGGUGUUCGAGGCCAACAUUCUCCAGUGGGCUCUGCGGCAGCUGUUGCCAUGCCUGCUGCAGCCUUUGAAGCUGCAGCAGCACAGCCUCCACCAGUCCUACCAGCCCCAGUGCAAGGCACAGCAGCUGUUGCUGUACCUGCUGCUGCACCCCCUGGUGCAAAAGUGCCAAGGACCACAGCUUGGCGCUGGAGAAAGGCAGCAGAGGCAGCACAAGGCGUGUAUCCCAGAAAGAGGCAACAGGCAGAGCAGUACAUUUGCCAAAAGUGUGGCCAACCAAAGACUAAAGAGUUUGGCCACAGCCAGUUCCGUGGGGUCCACUUUUGUGAAAAGGCCUCUGGGAAGACAGUAGAGCAGUGGAUUGAAGAAAUGAGAAGGGGAGAUAACAGACUUGCAUCAGUCAACAGACAGGAUUGUGUAAAUGUGUACAUAUUUAAAUAAGACUUUUAAGGCUUUUUCUGUUGUGUUCUUAGGCUUUAAAUAUUAUAUAUAUGUAUGUAAGGCAUGGGGGUUUAAAAGUUACCAACAUUCCAUAAGUAUAACAACCACCAGAUUAUGACAAUGAUAAUGAAACAAAUAUUGCUCAUUGACAAUAACCUUUAACUUCUAGUAUGAUUGUUUUUUUUUCUCUUUUCACUUCAAAGUAUUUGAAUCUUGCAGGCAAUUUAACAGGCCUGCGACCUAAAGGUCUAGAGUCCUGAACAAUGUUUGGAGAUGAACUCAGUGUAUGGUUCACCUCUUGUGAAACUGUGUCCAUGUCACUAGGCUGUGUGACAUUUUGCAAUUCCGUUGCUUGAAUGGGAUUUGAAUUAGACUGUUCCAAUACAAUGUCCACAGCCAGCAAAGAUUCAAAGAAGUAUUCUAUAACAGGAUUGUGUGACAACGUAAGGUCCUUUCCAGCGUGGAGCAAGUUUGCAUCGAGAAUGUGCAGGAUCAGUCAACCACAUAGUAAGGGUUGUAUUAGGGCUGCACGAUUAUGACAAAAAUCAUAAUUGUUGAUUAUUCCCCUUGUAAUUGUAAUUGCGAUUAUUAAUUACGAUUAUUAGAAUUUACAUUGAAUGAUGUCUUGAAUUUCUUUAUACUAUUGUUUGAAGCA